rnacentral:lncRNA from 1 species
GAAGAGCAGGAGGAGUGGAAGAAGAAUAAAAAGGAGUAGAGGAAGAGGAGGAAUAGAUAUUUGAUUUUGUCAUCUCCUAGUUAAAUAAUAGAUGAAAUAUUUAUUUUCCACCUCCAGAUCUCCAAGAGGACCUCAGAGAAAGAGUGAAACAAGGAAAAGGUGAAAUUACAUCUGUAAAAGCGGCCACACAGAGAUAUUAAAAGAAAAAAAAACUAGCAAAC